rnacentral:rRNA from 1 species
CGAAGUAGCAUACUUAUUGGCAGACGGGUGAGUAACAUGUGGGUAUCUACCCUUUGGCCUGGAAUAACACGAGGAAACUUGUGCUAAUACCGGAUAAGUCUUUACGGAGAAAGCUUUAUGCACCAUUGGAUGAGCCCGCACUUGAUUAGUUUGUUGGUAGGGUAAUGGCCUACCAAGACUAUGAUCAAUAGCUGAUUUGAGAGGAUGAUCAGCCACAUUGGGACUGAGACACGGCCCAAACUCCUACGGGAGGCAGCAGUGGGGAAUCUUGCACAAUGGAGGAAACUCUGAUGCAGCGAUGCCGCGUGAGUGAAGAAGGCCUUUGGGUUGUAAAGCUCUUUCGUCGGGGAAGAAAAUGACUGUACCCGAAUAAGAAGGUCCGGCUAACUUCGUGCCAGCCGCCCGGG